AUGGCGCAACGGGGCGAUCCAUCUGCAUCAAGCUCAAAGGGGAAGGACAGACUGGAGGCACUUAUGAAAGAGCUUGCUCUGAAGGAUGAUGACCUUGAUGAUGUGGUCUUUGACGAGGGUGAUGCUCCAGCGGAGGAGGACCUGCGGUGGAUGAUCCUAGCUCGUGUUCAUAUGGACAAGAGUUUUAGCACAUACUGGUUCUUUCGCAAUAUGAGAUCAGCUUGGGACCUGGCGAGGCCGGUCAAGAUCAAAACACUUGAGAAAAACUUGUUUCAGAUGCAGUUCAAUUGCUUGGGCGAUUGGGAGAAGGUGACCCAAGGAGGGCCGUGGCACUUCAGGGGAAACCCGGUGGUUAUUGCUCUAUAUGAUGAAUACACAAAACCAUCGUCCAUUGAGCUCUUCACUUUUGAAGUCUGGGCAAGAAUACUUGAUCUUCCAAUGGCAUAA
rnacentral:rRNA from 1 species